GGCGGAGUCAAUUGAAAAUCGGGCGAAAUGUGCAUUUCUUGCCGAGCUCUGAUAUAAAUAACUAAGUGUAACACAUAAAUAACAACGAAUACAGUUGAUUUUAAUACAUAAUCAUAAUAAAAGUUAGAUGUAAUGUCACAAAUUAAAUUGAUUGUCAAUUUAGCAAUGAUGCUACUAGCACAUUAAUGUAUUGAAUGUAUUGAAACAGAAAAUGAACGUUUCACGUCGCAAGAUGUAAUGGAAGCGCAGAUAUUUAUACUAAACCUAGAUUGCUAGGUUCGGCUGAAUAUCUGUGUCCGGCAGGAUUUCCGGAUUUGGCCAUCUUACCCAACAAGAAAAUGGCUCCGACGUGUGUGUUAGUGCGUAUGUGUUGUCUGUUGAGCCGGUUGAAAAAAAGAAUAAAUGUAUAUGUUUGUAACAUACGAGUUUUAUAACAUUCUAAGGUUAUAUUUCAAAUAAGCAUUACGUACACAUUUUAGAUUUCCUUUAAAUCUGCCUGAAAUAUUGCAAAUGUGGAUUGAUGCAAUUGGAAGAGAAAGUUUUUAAUCAACCAAAAAUCACCUUAUUUGCAGUGCGCAUUUUAAAGCUGAGGAUUAUAUGAACAGGCCAAACACAAGCGGUGGUUAGUAUAUUUUCUAAAAGCGUUUUUGACGGCAGUGAGUUUUAACCCAGGUUCAACGCCAUUUGCCGGAAUUAUCCAAUUAGAACGUCGGGGGAUCCGUUCUCUGCAGUCAGAAAUGCUAUAAGGUUCCUGCUCCUGCAUUCAUACCUAUAAGCGGCCAUUCUCAAGUAGAAAAAAGUCAUGCAAAGGUCAAAAUGAUGUCUAAAUAGUAUCAAAAACUACUCAUUUUUAGAAUGUCAAAGUGAUAUCAUUUCGUUACUUAAUUGAACUAUAAUUUGAUUUUUAUAUGACUGUAAUUUGACUGUUUUGUGACAUUUGAAUAAUUUGACAAAAAAGCAUUAAACGCUUUCUAGUAAUUAACUUACAAUAGUAUAACAUCAAUCAAUGUAACAUUAAUACACAUUUAACUAUGUACUUAUUACGUAUAAUAUACGUUGUAUUACAUUUAGAUUGUUGAAAGUAAAAUUAUGACAUUAUUUUUUACAAAGAGAACCUUUGUAACAUAAAUAUAUGCUUGAAAUAUAUUUAAAAUAUUGUUUAUUUACAUUUUGCAAUAUUUGAGAUUUUAUUUUUAGCUUUUUAUAAACAAAUUAUAAGAUCAAAAUUAUAAAAUCAAUACUUUUAAAAUAAUUAUAAUUAUAUAGGCAAGGUGUUCUAAGAUAAUAGCAAAUUUGAUUAGUAUGUAUGUACUAUAUGCACUGGUGCACCUUUAAGUCAUUACAUACUAAUCUAAUCUAAGUAAAAAAUGAAAUAUCAUAUUUAUAUAUCUUAACAUCUAUUUGUGUACCCAGCGAACAAAAAUAAAUCUAAAUGAAUUAACAAUUACAAUUUAUUUUAUUUAAAUUUGCGCUGUUAGAGUCGGAAUAUUUUUAGAUUCAAAUAAACUCAAAUUGAAAUACGAAAUGCGCUAUUCAUUAUUUUAAAUUUAUAAUGGAUUCAUAUCUUCAUUAUAUUAUUUUUGGAUUCAAAUAAAUUGCAAUACAAAAUAACCUAUUCAUUAUUUCAGAUAGAUUCAUGUCCUAUUAUAUUAUUAUUUUUGGAUUCAAAUGGAUUAAAAAAAAUCUAAAGCGCAAAUUCGAAGAUAUUAAAAUAAAUUUUUUUCUAUCCAUUUCAAUUUAUUUCCGUUUACUGGGUACGUCUUUAUAUACACUAAUGCAGAUUCAAUCAAAUUUGCUAUAAAAUAAUUUGUAUUUAAAAAAGAAGAAAAUCAUAAAACUUUUAUCCAACUUUAUUUAUUAUAAAAAAAAUAUAAUAAAUGGUUUUUAUGUAUUUAAAAACGUUAAAAGUAAAGUCUCAAAAAUGCCAAUUUAAAAUACAUGUUACGAAACAAAAAGUAAAAUACUGUAUAAUAUUAAUUAUAGGAAAAAAUAUAAUAGGUAUUUCCAAUUUGAUUGAACAUAGUUAUAAAACUUAAUGUCCAAUGUACAUUGAUGUAUGAUAGUUUUAAAAAUCUUGAAAAACAAAAAUAUUCCAUUUCUGUUCGAAUAAUAAUGAGUAUUUAAAAGCA